UUCCCGGGCCUUGUACACACCGCCCGUCACACCAUGGGAGUUGGCCACGCCCGAAGUCGUUACUCCAACCGUUCGCGGAGGAGGAUGCCGAAGGCAGGGCUGAUGACUGGGGUGAAGUCGUAACAAGGUAGCCGUACCGGAAGGUGUGGCUGGAUCACCUCCUUUCAGGGAGACCUACCCUAUCGGAUGCCGAAACAAAGUGGAUUAGGCAAAGAUAAGGUCAUCCUAAGGUCGUUCGAGGUUGUGGAUGAACUAGAUGGCUUUCAAACUACUAGGUGAGGGACCGUGGGCUAUUAGCUCAGGUGGUUAGAGCGCACCCCUGAUAAGGGUGAGGUCCCUGGUUCGAGUCCAGGAUGGCCCACCUGAAUCAAUUCAGAAUGAUGAAUUGUCAGUUCAAAAUUUUGAAUCAUUGAUGGGGGUUUAGCUCAGUUGGUAGAGCGCCUGCUUUGCAAGCAGGAUGUCAGCGGUUCGAGUCCGCUAACCUCCACUGGGAGACGAGUCUCCGAGGGAGAAAGAAUUCAGCAACUAGUCUAGUUGAGUAUUAACAACUUACUAGAGAGCCUGCUGGAUUUUGGUCCAGUCAGAACCUUGAAAACUGCAUAGAAACUUGUCAGGUAGGUAGUUCUUGUUGAUUAGCUUUCGAGUUAAUGAACAAGAAUGAGUAUCACAGACACCAAUGUAAUUGA
rnacentral:misc_RNA from 1 species